UAGGGGUAUAUUUAUAAGUAUUUUACAGAUACAACAUGGAAAUAAAUAUAACUUUACAAAAUAGGGAGGAACAUACAGUGAUCUUUAAUACUAACUACGUACAUGUCUGAAGACAAAGAGGGGUUCCCCUUUCGGGAGUCCCCUGAAAACUUACAGCCGCUGGUAGAGAAACUUUAGAAACCUAUCCACACACUUUUUUUUGUGGUUGUGGAGGAGGGUGGGG
rnacentral:lncRNA from 1 species